AAGACACUGUAGUGGAGACACGACAACAGGAGGGUUAUUAUCUGAAGACACUGUAGUGGAGACACGACAACAGGAGGGUUAUUAUCUGAAGACACUGUAGUGGAGACACGACAACAGGAGGGUUAUUAUCUGAAGACACUGUAGUGGAGACAUGACAACAGGAGGGUUAUUAUCUGAAGACACUGUAGUGGAGACAUGACAACAGGAGGGUUAUUAUCUGAAGACACUGUAGUGGAGACAUGACAACAGGAGGGUUAUUAUCUGAAGACACUGUAGUGGAGACACGACAACAGGAGGGUUAUUAUCUGAAGACACUGUAGUGGAGACACGACAACAGGAGGGUUAUUAUCUGAAGACACUGUAGUGGAGACAUGACAACAGGAGGGUUAUUAUCUGAAGACACUGUAGUGGAGACAUGACAACAGGAGGGUUAUUAUCUGAAGACACUGUAGUGGAGACAUGACAACAGGAGGGUUAUUAUCUGAAGACACUGUAGUGGAGACAUGACAACAGGAGGGUUAUUAUCUGAAGACACUGUAGUGGAGACAUGACAACAGGAGGGUUAUUAUCUGAAGACACUGUAGUGGAGACACGACAACAGGAGGGUUAUUAUCUGAAGACACUGUAGUGGAGACAUGACAACAGGAGGGUUAUUAUCUGAAGACACUGUAGUGGAGACACGACAACAGGAGGGUUAUUAUCUGAAGACACUGUAGUGGAGACACGACAACAGGAGGGUUAUUAUCUGAAGACACUGUAGUGGAGACACGACAACAGGAGGGUUAUUAUCUGAAGACACUGUAGUGGAGACACGACAACAGGAGGGUUAUUAUCUGAAGACACUGUAGUGGAGACACGACCACAGGAGAAGAGAAGGAGAGAAGAGAUGGAGGAAGAGAAGUAGAGAAGAGAUGGAGGAAGAGAAGGAGAGAAGAGAUGGAGGAAGAGAAGGAGAGAAGAGAUGGAGGAAGAGAAGGAGAGAAGAGAAGGAGAGAAGAGAUGGAGGAAGAGAAGUAGAGAAGAGAUGGAGGAAGAGAAGUAGAGAAGAGAUGGAGGAAGAGAAGUAGAGAAGAGAUGAAGGAAGAGAAGGAGAGAAGAGAUGGAGGAAGAGAAGGAGAGAAGAGAUGGAGGAAGAGAAGGAGAGAAGAGAAGUAGAGAAGAGAUGGAGGAAGAGAAGUAGAGAAGAGAAGUAGAGAAGAGAUGGAGGAAGAGAAGGAGAGAAGAGAAGUAGAGAAGAGAUGGAGGAAGAGAAGGAGAGAAGAGAAGUAGAGAAGAGAUGGAGGAAGAGAAGGAGAGAAGAGAUGGAGGAAGAGAAGGAGAGAAGAGAUGGAGGAAGAGAAGGAGAGAAGAGAUGGAGGAAGAG